rnacentral:rRNA from 1 species
UGCUGCUUUGCUGACGAGUGGCGGACGGGUGAGUAAUGUCUGGGAAACUGCCUGAUGGAGGGGGAUAACUACUGGAAACGGUAGCUAAUACCGCAUAACGUCGCAAGACCAAAGAGGGGGACCUUCGGGCCUCUUGCCAUCGGAUGUGCCCAGAUGGGAUUAGCUAGUAGGUGGGGUAACGGCUCACCUAGGCGACGAUCCCUAGCUGGUCUGAGAGGAUGACCAGCCACACUGGAACUGAGACACGGUCCAGACUCCUGCGGGAGGCAGCAGUGGGGAAUAUUGCACAAUGGGCGCAAGCCUGAUGCAGCCAUGCCGCGUGUAUGAAGAAGGCCUUCGGGUUGUAAAGUACUUUCAGCGGGGAGGAAGGGAGUAAAGUUAAUACCUUUGCUCAUUGACGUUACCCGCAGAAGAAGCACCGGCUAACUCCGUGCCAGCAGCCGCGGUAAUACGGAGGGUGCAAGCGUUAAUCGGAAUUACUGGGCGUAAAGCGCACGCAGGCGGUUUGUUAAGUCAGAUGUGAAAUCCCCGGGCUCAACCUGGGAACUGCAUCUGAUACUGGCAAGCUUGAGUCUCGUAGAGGGGGGUAGAAUUCCAGGUGUAGCGGUGAAAUGCGUAGAGAUCUGGAGGAAUACCGGUGGCG